ACAUCUUUGUGAGGUCUGCUUCAGUGCUCCUGUCUGAGAAGUAAAAAGUCUCCUAUAGAACGACAUUGAUGUAUUAAACCACUUGAUGUACUACUACCAUUCUUACUUCUCUUCAUCUAGGUUGACUUGCUUCAGAACAGGCUCAGGCAAUACAAUAGAACAAACAUAGAGCAAGACACAGAAGCAAAAGAUACUCCAACAGAUCUUCUAACAUCAUAAAGGAGCCUGGGGAAAAGAUAUAUAAAGGUAGCUCCCCUACUACAUCACUAUGAAGUGCGUUAGAGCACAGAAUUGAAAAGGGCUUGUGAUUCUAAACUUGGGAGUCUUUCUAAGAAAUCAGAAUUGUAAACUGUUUUCAUGAAGUGCUUUCAUCGUAAAAAUGCUGGACCCGAUGAAUCAUAACCCAACCAUGACCAUGGCAGUUGGAUGUGGAAAGAUGCCUGAGAAGAGCACCCUGCUGACAGAGCCCUGCUUUCCUCCUCAGAAGUCUGUUCUUUAUCUGAUUCAUGCUGCUUCUCCUUCAAGAAUCUACUAUUGGGAUGUCUAGCCCUGUGACAAUAAUUUCUCAGGGAUAAUUACUUUAAGCAACUUUUAUUCUUUAAGCAAAUACUUGAACUAAUGUAUGAUGUGAUAUAUUUUAUGUCAUAAUAUAAUAUAUGAUAUCUCAUAUAUCUUAUAGCAUAAUUGAAUUUUUCCACAUUAUAUUGACACUUACUUACUAUACAUAGACACUGUAAUAUAUUAUAUUCUACCACAUUUUA